rnacentral:lncRNA from 1 species
ACAGGCGCCAGGCGCUCCGGCCGCAAGGGAGCAGGGAGCCCUGCCAGCUGGGCCACCCGAGGGGCGUUGCGGGGCUCCGGGCGGGGUCGACCCGGGGGGCUCCGUCGGGCCCCACCAGCCUUGCGCCUUUUUCGCUCGGUCUCCUUGGCCUCCCGCUCCUGCGACGCCGCUUUCCUUUUCUCUUGCUCCCGAGCUCGGACCUCGGCCAGGGGCCCCGCCCGCCAGUUGGUCGCCUCCUGCAGCACCCUGGAGGCCCAGGGCCGGCGGGGCGGCGGCUGUGGGGAUCCCGGGCGCGGCCCACACCUGGGACAAUGAGCAGGAACCCAGGUGAGCAGUUUGUGGGGGAAGGGAGCCGAGGUCCGGGGAGCUGGGAGCACUGGAGACCACUUGGGGCAGCCAUGUGAAGGGGUGUGUGUGAGUGUGUGCGCGUGUGCACGUGCGUAUAUGUUAGGACUGAAGUCGAAGCGGGACUCCUCGCCAUCUCUCCAUGCACACUUUAACAGCGUCUGCCCCAUCUCACCUCCUGCCCUUUCUCACACCCACUUCUGUUCCCCCAAACAACGGGAUGAGUCAGGCCCCAGCCCUCGGGAGCGGGCAGAGGUGGAAGGCGUGGGAAAGAGAAGGGGGACCAGCAGUGCUCGCUGGUGCCUGCGGGGAGGUCCGGACCCCACUCCCCGCCCCACCACUCUCUUCCCCUCACCCCUGCUUCACUCACGUGCGGUUCUGGAACCCGCGAGCCCAGUGGCUGGCCUGGAAGUCCAUGGGCUGUCGAGAAGGGGCGCGGCGACUAUAAUGACAGGAAAUAGUCUUCACUUCUAUCACCAAUAGCUUGGACUUCUGCACCCAGAGGCAGCUGCCAGACUCCUCAUCCUGGAGCUCCCGGGGGCUGUCAGGCCCCUCGGAGAACAGUGGGCCAUCCAGCAUCCUGCCCCACCCCACCCCGGCCCCCCACCCUCCCACCCGCCCCAGGAGCCCCCUCCCAGCCCAGGGAGCCGGCGCCCACUGCAGAGCCGCGGGCCCGGGGACUGGGAACUAUAUAUACCCGGGCACACGUGUGUGUGCCUGUCUCUGUGUGUGCGCGCGCAUGUGACACCGCGCGGACUGCUCCGCGCUGCUACCUCCCCCAUGUGCACGGCCGCCCCCUGGGGCCCGGGAUUGGACGCCCCUUCCCACUGCUGUUGUCCCCCAAGCCUGAUGGGAUCGCACGAGUGGGCGGGGGAGGGACUUAUGAUUCUUGCCAAGCUGACAGUGCCCCCUCCCCCGCCCCUAUUUCUUCAACCUUCCUGCCGUUUUAACCCUUUACUCUCCUGCUUGUCAGGUUGCCUGACCACCAGGGUUCUGCCCCUGGCUUCCUGCCUCAGAUUUCAGUUUCCCCAACAUAGAGUGAUGAGAUUGGAACUCAAGGUCUCUGCCUGCCACUCUGCUGGUUUCCAUGGGGCUGGGGUGCAGGAGGGGCUGGCCCACGGCUGGGGGGCUAUUUUUAGCGGCAGUGGCUGUUCGGGUGCAGAGAUGAGAUGAGUAACCAGCUCCCAUGCGGUGGAGAGAGGAGGCGGUGGCUUUUACCAAGCUUUUGUGCGACUCUGAGGGAGAGCUGCCUUCCCUAAGCUCAAAAAGGGUGACCCCUACACCCGUAUCUCCUUGUCAGCUCAGUGCUGCAGCCUAGGACUGCUGGUACAGCAGGACACAGGCGUCUGCCUUGGCCACCCAAGCUGCCCUACCAGUUCCAUUCUACAUGUUUGUCCUUGGGCAGCCAGGGAGCCCUCCCACAGCAGCAGGCUUUCACCUCCAAUCCAGAAGCCAGGAUUUGGGGGUUAUAUUGUUCUGUGCCCACACAGCCUGCCCAGCUUUAUGGAGGACAGAGUAAGUGCUUAUGCACUCUCACCCUUCCAGAGGGGGAUGGAGGAGAAAUGAUGUGUUUGCUUGGCAAAACUAAUCCCCUAGCAACUGAAAUGAUAAAAGUGGCCUUUAUUUUUUUCAAUGUAGAACUCCCCCUCACCACCACCACAAUGCCUAGUUCACUCAGUCCCCACCUUAAGUGGUGCUCCAGAUGCUCACCUUUUGGGCUGCCUCUGUCCUGGGGGGCUGUUGCUUAUAUCCACAUGAUCCCUCCUCCUAAGCUUAUACCAGGUGUCCCCUGAUUCACCAUGGUAAUGUUAGUGGCAGCACAGCCCACGCCAACCCUUCCAUGCAGAGACUUAGCAACCAUGCCUGGCAACCAUGGCAGCAGCUUCAGUGGAGGGGAGCAGUGCAGAGAGAGGGGAGAGUGUGUGGGGCAUGGUUCCUCGGGAAGAAGGGAUAAUUUGCCUCUCUGGAGAGGAAUAGGUAAGAAUAGAAGCUUGUGAGUCUCCCAAAUUUCAUCCCUUGUCUCUCCCUCAGCUUCAUCCUCACACUGAGACGGAUAGGUUGGGUUUUAGAGGGAAAUGGGAGAAGCAAGAGUUCCCAAUUAGUUUUCCACUAAUGUACAUGGAGCCCUUUGGGUCCAGACCCUUCCUUUUAAGGGGAUGGGGAACAACCAGAAAGGUUGUGGGGCAGAGACUGACAGACUGAGAAACAACUCAACAAAACCAGGUCUCUGCUCCCUAACACAAACCUUUAGAGAGAACGCAAACAUCCCGUCCCAUCCACCCUACCCCCCUUGAUUCCACACACCUGCCAGCUGCACUGAUGACUUGACUCGAAGAUGCUUCCUUCCACCCUAGGUCCCACUAGAGUCCUGAGGCUUUUUAAAGCCCUUGCCUCCUCCCUAGGCAAAUCUUCCUUAAUGAGGGAAUGUGACAUAAGGGGCCAUCUGUCCUUUCCACCAUGUGCUUACCCUCCUGACACAUAAACAUACUCUAAUUCUAAUAACUUGGAAGCCUUCCUCCCCCAAGGUUGAGAAUGUGCUGUGAGAGCUGUAAAGGGGUGAAGGCAGAAGCAGGGGCUCCUCCACAGCCAUGAUGCAACACUGAAAGCUGAGCUCUGAUGAGGGCCACCUUCUUUUUUUAAAAUAAGCUUCCUCAGGUCGAAUCUGAUGAGGGCCUUGAUGCUUUUCCCUGUGUUCCAUCAGGAGAACCCAGUAUGCCCUGGCUGGAGGGUUAUCAGAGGGGUUAGGCACUGUGGGGCAGGGGCAAGGAAUGACUCCGAAAUUGCUCCUGGCUUGGAUGGGAAACUGUAUCAUACCUGCAAGGCUGGGGUGAGCUGGCACCCAAAUUUAGCUCAUACUCCAGUCUAGCAGUUCUUCUGAUGUUGGGUGCUGACUGCUGUUUGGGUCUACAUGCUUUCAAUACAGGGAAUGGAUCUGAUGGAGUGACCACUGCCCUGCUGUUCUCCCACCAUCCAGCUCAUUCUCACCUUGGAAGAGGCAAGGGAUUUGUAGGUUUAAAGAUAGUGCUGGCCGGGUGCGGUGGCUCAUGCCUGUAAUCCCAGCACUUUGGGAGGCUGAGGCAGGUAGAUCACAAGGUCAGGAGUUCGAGACCAGCCUGGCCAAUAUGGGUGAAACUCCGUCUUUACUAAAAAAUACAAAAAUUAGCUGGGCGUGGUGGCGCGCGCCUGUAGUCCCAGCUACUCAGGAGGCUGAGGCAGGAGAAUCACUUGAACCCGGGAGACGGAGGUUGCAGUGAGCUGAGAUUGCGCCAUUGCACUCCAACCUGGGCAACAGAGUGAGAUUCCAUCUCAAAAAAAAAAAAAAAAAAAAAAAAAAAGAUAGUGCCAACUCAGCAAAAGCCAAACAGUCCAACCUUCCCCAACUAAGAAAAGCUGAUAAUGGUGGCAGGAUUCUCUGCCCAAAGGAGACCCUCAAGUCUGUCUACUCGUGUGUGUGUACGUGUGUGUGUGCGUACACACGUUAUUAUUAUUGUUAAUGACCAGUUGAAGAAGCCAUAUAAAGUAGGAAGGUAGUACCCAUCAACUGUAAAAAUCAAACACUGCAAUAUCGUGAAGAGAUUCCUGUCAUUUAAUUAGAUUUGCCACAAAAAGCAAUAACCUUAGCUAACCACGCUGCUCUCCUCCUCCACCUAACCCCCAUCUCCCUUCAUAUGCACAAACACAGGAACCCAAAGCCCCUCCUCCCCACAAUCCUCCCCACUCACAUUAUGGGAAGAAAUGUCACUAAAUGGACUUGGCCUCCUCCAUAUAGCACGGAACAGGUGAAUAAAAAUAUCUUUAUGAAGAAUUUUGUUGUGCUAUUAUCUUAGGGUUGAAUCAGGGCCAAGAUGGAGGCAGAGGCAAGUGAGGUCUGGGGAUCUCUUAGAGAUCAGAAUUUGUCUGAGAGGCACAGAGCCUAUAGUUCACCCAGAAAGGGGGAUAUAUCUAAGAGGACAGGGGCUAGAACUGGCUAGGCUGAAAGUUUUUUCAAGUGUAUGUGUGAGGGUAAGGGUAGCUAUAAAUCCAUUCUCUUUCCUCCCCCAUACCUUCCCUAGCUCCCAGAUAGAAGGGCAGGGGACCCUGAACAGGGAACAGAGUCACAAUUCCCUCAAGUUUCAUCUGAUUCCCACAGAGCUUCCAGCAGGCAGUGAGUUGGGCAUAUCCCCUGGUGCUGCAUGACCCCUUCCCCCAGCUCAGGGCUUCUUCUCUCCACCUGUGAGCACCAGGGCCUGCAGGAUGUCAGACAGUGAUACAAUUCCCUUGACCACAUCAUUUUCAUCCACCACUACAAGUCGGUGAACCUGGCACAGAGCAACAAGGGAGAAAGGGAAUGUUUAGUGCUGGCCUCAGGGGAAGCCCCUCUGCCCCUACUCUCCUUGCCAAACCCCACUCUCAAGGCUGCUCCCCUCAGCUCCUUUAGGGUUGCUGGCCUCCCUACCUCUGCUUCCACUAGCCUGUUGAUGAUGGUCUCCAGAGUCUCAUGCAGGUAGCACUUGAGAACACCCUCAAAGUAAUGUGAUCGAUGUUGCAAGGCUUUAGUCACAGAUACAUCUAGGUUGUUGUAGGUCUUUUCUGCUGCCAGAUUCUGGGGAGACAGAGGAAGGAGCUUGCAGGGAAGCAAGAGAGCCAGCCUCCAAACCCUGAACCCAUCCAACCUCAACAGAGGGAUUCAGGGCAAUUGUCAGCCACAAGCCACACCCAACUCAUUCAAUUCCUUUUCAAAUAGGAUUUGAAAGCCUGGAAGCUUCUAAGACCCUUAGAUCACAGAAGAGACUCCCUUCUCCCUCUCCAUAUUUAACAGUGCCCCCCCCCCACCACUUCCCUACCUCCCAGACCCUCCACAAUCACUCACGAUAACAUCAAACUUGGAGUAGAUGUCCACCACACGCCCUAGGGGGACAGAGGCAGCUCAGUAAGGAGGAUCUGGGAUCUAAAGCUCCCCCUACUCAUAGAAUCACCCUCCUGGCUAAGCUGAGGGGAAAGCAGAUCUUCCCAGAGCCACCCUGACUUGCCUGGAUCUUCCCUCCCUCUCCUUCUGCCCAAUCUCUCACCCUUCUCAUCCACCACUGGCAGGGCUGAGACUCGAUGCUGUACAAAAAUCCCCAGAGCCACAUAGACGGGGGUGGUAGUGCGAACCAUAGCAAUAUUGGCAUAGGUGCCAAUCUGUAGCUCUUCCAGAGACUUGGACAUGAACUCUGGCUUGGGGAACUCAGUGAUCUGAGGAAAGAACCAUCAGCUUAACUUUCAAGGCACCCAAAGCCACCCUUGGAUACCCCCUCCAACCCAGUAUAUUAGAAAUAAGGGCUGGGUGCGCCGGCUUAUGCCUAUAAUCCCAGCACUUUGGGAGGCUGAGGGGGACAUAUUGCUUGAGCCCAGGAGUUCGAGACCAGCCUGGGCAACAUGGCAAAACCCUAUCUCUAUAAAAAAUACCAAAAAAUUAGCCAGGUGUGGUGGUACACACGUGUAGUCCCAGCUCUUCUGGGGGUUGAGGUCGGGGGUCACCUGAGACCAAGAGGUUGGAGGCUGCAGUGAGCCAUGAUAGCGCCUCUGCACGCCAGCCUGGGCAACAGAGUAAGAACUUGUCUCAAAAUAAAUUAAUAAAUAAAUAAGAAGUGGGGCUGGAUGCAGUGGCUCACACCUGUAAUCCUAGCACUUUGGGAGGCUGAGGCGGGAGGAUCACUUGAGCUCAGGAGUUUGACACUAGCCUGAGCAACACAGUGAGACCUCGUCUCUCUUUUCAAUCAAUCAAUCAAUCAAUCAAUGAAAAAAGAGAAAAAAGAACUGGGCUGAGGAGCACUUACAAACAAUUUGAGGAACUUCAGAAUGCGCUUGUGGGUGAGGAUGUACAAAGUAUUGCCUGAUUCUGGGUCAAUAACUGGCAGCCUGUGGAUCUUGUUCCGAAUUAAUGAAGAGACAGCAUCAAACAAGCUGUGAGAGGGUGGGAGAUAAUAAGUUCCACAGUGCUGGGGCUGGGGGUGAUUAAACAGGUCCAUACAGUGUAUUGCUCAACAGGGAAAACUGAUGGUUAGGGAAGGGGGGCAGUGUACAGGCCAGACUUAAAGAGAAAGAGAGAGAGAGAGAGAGUGAGAAUGAGAGAGAGAGAGAGACUGUGUGUGUGUGUGUGUGUGUGUGUGUGUGUGUGUGUGUGUGUGUGUGUCUUUUCUCUCUUCUUCCCCUUUCCCUGGGUGUCUAGGGCAUUAGCUAGGCUGAUGACAAAAUCUCUUCCGCUUUUUGGACAGAUGGGUAACUGGAACUCACCUGGCAUUAGGAGAAAUGCAGACAAGCGGUUUAAAGGAGUCCUGGAGAUACACCUCUGAAGGGAAAAGGGAUGGGUCACAAAAUACCACCAUGGAAAAGUGUUUCCCAGAAACCCGCCAUCCCUUUAUCCUUUUAUAACCCCAAUUCUCUACAUACCUCUCCAAGUUUCUAUCUUGUGUUCUUCUAGCUCAUAGAUCUGUACCUGAAAGCAGAAGCAACAGAAUUUGAGACCUGAUCUCUCUGCUUCCUUAAGCCCUCGUGGCUUGCUUGGAGAAAAAGAAAUGAGAAUGAGGGAUUUAGGGCAGGGAAAGUGAUUUUGGUCAUUGGGUUAAGGUUCCUUACCAAGGCUGAUUUAUAGUAGCGGUGCAGGAUAUUGAUGAAAUCAGUGAUGGUCAGCAUGCCUAGAGGACAAGACAGAGCCCUCAGCACUGCCUGAAGCUUGUCUCCCUGCCCAGCACAAGAUGCCAAUAAUAUUGUGUUCCAGAAACUUUUGCUUACCCACAAAACUUUGCUUCUUACUAUCCCAUAAAGGGGCAGCUCGUACACCGUUAGUCACCAAAGCAAAAAAAGCUUUCUUCACCUGUAGCCAAGACAGUAAUAAUCAUAAAGGCAAAUCCACAGGGGCAGGACUGUAAAAAAAGAACAGUGUUUGGGCAUGUUGGGUAAAACAUGAGACUAACUUCACAGAAGGAUAAGGAUAUUACCCUUAGGAUGAGAUAGGAUGAGAGGUAUUAAACCACAGGCUCCAAAGGGGGAAGGGAAAAGAGGAUUUCACCCACCUGCAGGGACGUAUCAAAUACAACCAAUUUGGAGCUUGUGGGAAUCAGGUCAUAGCAGCGAUGAGACUUCAUGAAGGAAGUAUACACGCUAUUGUUGGAUUCUGGGGUCUCUGCAUAGGGUGGGAUAGUUAGUAGCUUCCUUCCACAUAAAAACUCCCAAUCAAAAGAGACAGAAAACAAAAUAGUGUUCUAGUAUCUCAAAUAUUUAGAGCAUUAUUUUUUAAUAAGACCCCUUAUUUUAUCUGUCUUGUUCCUAUUGUUUCCACAAAACCUGGAUAAACCUCUUAGAAACCAUUUCAUCCAACCCCUGUCUCCAGGUUAAGACUUUAUCUAUUGGUCCCUAUAGGUAAAAGAAGUUGACUAAAACAUAAAGCCUAUAGUAUCUCUCUUUAACAUGUUAUAGUCUAAAAAUGUUUCUCAUCUUUAAUCCAAGCUUUCCCUUUCAUAUACUUAGCACAUUUUCACUUUCCUCUUUUUUCAAUGAAGUAAGCUUCUUAAAAUUCUUCCAAGACUGUGCUGGGGAUGGUGGCAAGCACCUGUAAUCCCAGCUACUCAGGAAGUUGAGGCAGAGGAUCACUUGAACCCAGGAGCUCGAGGCCAGCCUGGGCAACACAGCGAACCCCUGUCUCAAUUAAAAAAAAAAUUAUUCUAAGACCUGCAAAUGGGAAAGUCAUGGUCCAAGUUGGGCCAUUUCUCAUUAACAAUAAGUUGGAGCCCAGUGCUCAAUCAACCUGGCUCAAAACACCCUGAUAGUCCAUUCUGGGAUCACCCUGUAAAUCAGAAAUCAUCCCACCUACUCUAGACAAAUGGGAGAUCCUGGCUAGUUUACCUUUUUCUAUUCCUGUGAUUUUAAUUGCUUGCUCUAAACUAGGGAAGUAAUCUCCCAAAAUAAUAGCUUGAAUGUGCUACAUACUAUACUACGUGCACUUAAAAAUAUUACAUUGAGGCUGGGCGUGGUGGCUCAUGCCUGUAAUCCCAGAACUUUGGGAGGCCAAGGUGGGAGGAUCACCUGAGGUCGGGAGUUCAAGACCAGCCUGACCAACAUGGAUAAACCCUGUCUCUAUUAAAAAUACAAAAUUAGCCGGGCAUGGUGGCGCAUGCCUGUAAUCCCAGCUACUCGGGAGGCUGAGGCAGGAGAAUUGCUUGAACCCGGGAGGCAGAGGUUGCGAUGAGCCGAGAUCGCAACAUUGCACUCCAGCCUGGGCAACAAGAGUGAAACUCCGUGUCAAAAAAAUAAAUAAAUAAAUAAAUAAAUUACAUUGGCUGGGCGUGGUGGCUCACACCUGUAACCCAGGACUUUGGGAGGCCAAGGUGGGUGGAUCACCUGAGGUCAGAAGUUUGAGACCAGCCUGGCCAACAUGGCGAAACCCCGUCUCUACUAAAAAAAUAUAAAAAUUAGCCAGGCGUGGUGGCACGUGCCUGUAGUCCCAGCUACUCAGGGGGCUGAGGCAGGAGAAUUGCUUGAACCCAGGAGGUGGAGGUUGCAGUGAGACGA